AAGCAACAGAGUUUUCUUUUACCUUUUCUUUCCUCCACAAGUUUAAAUUAGCUACUCCCUCAUGUGCGCUCCCAUAGCAAUGCAGGUACUUAAUAGGUAUCUGCCUACAGAUAAGACUCUUCCACUCAGGUGUAAGUUUCUCAACUGCUGAAACCAUGUCUUAGCCAUUUUUGUACACCUAAUCCCAGAACAGUGAUUGGAAAAUAAUAUUUCUAUAAAGUCUAAGAGAUUAAAGGUUUUUAAAAGCGUAUUUAAAUCAGAUAGUUUCUAGAAUAUACAUUAUCUAAAUAAUGUAUACAUCUCUUUCAAUGAAAACAUAUUCUAGAUAAGUAUAGCAAUAAAUUUUUUGUGUCUCAUCAAGUUAGGCAAUUUAAGAGUUAGAAAUAGUUGAAUAGGGCUUUAUUAUUCAUAAUGAAAUAAUGGUAAUCACAAUUUAUAGCACUAAAUGCCCACAAGAGAAAGCAGGAAAGAU
rnacentral:lncRNA from 1 species